AACCAUUCCAGUAACUUUCUUUGCAUAUGUACUUAGCUGUACUAUGAGUGGUUGGUUUGUAUGAGAUGGUU
ensembl:miRNA